UUGGGACAAGGAUUUAUCAAAGAGGAACUUAGGGGGUGUUUGGUUGAGAGGAGUGGGGGUCUGGAAUCGGAAUUAAAAUGGAUGACUCCCAUUCCAACCGUUUGGUUAAGAAGAGUCGCAUUUCGAUUCCGAUUUCAAGGUGGAAUUGGAAUUGCUCAAUUUAUAUAGAACUCAAUCCCUACUCUCCUCUAUGGAUUCAA
rnacentral:lncRNA from 1 species